GGUAGUGGUAGUGUAGUAGUGCCAUCUAGUGGUGGUAGUGGUAGUGUAGUAGUGCCAUCUAGUGGUGGUAGUGGUGGUGUAGUAGUGCCAUUUAGUGGUAGUAGUGGUGGUGUAGUAGUGUCAUCUAGUGGUGGUAGUCAGAGUUAGCCAGGUUAUCAGUGAUGGUGUUAUAGUGAAGGUCAGGACAGUGACCAUCCUCAAGAUAACUGAAAGUCAUUUGAAGUUCAGUUGUCAUACAGGAGGGAUGUGUUGCUUCUUCUGCCACCCCGCCGGCUUUACCGCUUCAUCUUUUUAAUACACCUAAAUAACUAAGUGUGGUAACUGAGGAUUGCUGCGUCUGGCUGUGUCUGCUGCAACAUUGACCAACACGGCAACCUUGACCAGUCUGAGGGGUGGAGACAACCACACUAGUAAAUGGUCUGACCCAUAACACCUAGUGUUAUACCUGGAGAGGGCUACUCCAGGUGGAGAUGCAGCAGCUGGAAACGUCGUCAGAGGUGGGCGGGGACUACUUGUAAGGUUACAGGUCCCAGCAACACGUAAACACCAAGCUACAGGUUCCAACAUCACGGAGCACCAGGCUGUAGGCUCCACCUGGAACAGCAGCACGGAGCACCAGGUGAUAGUUUCCAGCAACAGGAAAAUCAGUAUACAGGCCUCAGCCACACGGAGCACCGAAUUGAAGGUCCCAGCCACAUGGUUCAACAGGUUACAGCCUCCACCAGCACGGAACACCAAGUUAGCAUCACGAAAGCUCCCUGCUGGUGGGUGAAGCUAGCUUGGAGUGAUCGCUGGGUGAGUAUUAUGGCAAAAAAAAAAAGUCGUUGUGGUAGCUAAUGUCAGUGUAUUAGGAUGGUUGUGGUGUAGUGGUGGUAGGAUGGAAUAUGGUAGUUGCCAGAAUAUAAAAAGUCUUGUGAGGAGUAUCUACAUUCACAUGGCAUACGAGAGUGAGCUUUUGACUUAAUUCUUUAUAAAAAAUGAAAUAUAUCACUUUACCAGGUAAUCCCAAGUGUACAUAAUUUACCUUAACUGAAUCCCUAUAACAAGUAGAAUUUAGUCACAAUACUGUGGCUGGAACAUUUCAC